UUCAGUGCGACAGAGAGCAGUCGCUUUCAGUGCAUUGUUUUCACCGUUACUUACAUAAUCUCGCAUUUGAUCUCUAUUCCAUUGUGAAUAGUAGGUUUUUCUUAUCAAACAUGUUUUAAAAAAACGCCACGGUCUUCAAUCCGUCAUUCAGUCAAGGUCAAUAUGACUGAGCCAACGGAUCGAAACCUUUUAUCGAGAAAGGAGAGCAGGUCUGUCAGAUUCCUGAUGGUCUAAUUUCUGCUG